rnacentral:rRNA from 1 species
GACGAACGCUGGCGGUGUGCCUAAUACAUGCAAGCUGAGCGAUGAAGAUUGGUGCUUGCACCAAUUUGAAGAGCAGCGAACGGGUGAGUAACGCGUGGGGAAUCUGCCUUUGAGCGGGGGACAACAUUUGGAAACGAAUGCUAAUACCGCAUAACAACUUUAAACAUAAGUUUUAAGUUUGAAAGAUGCAAUUGCAUCACUCAAAGAUGAUCCCGCGUUGUAUUAGCUAGUUGGUGAGGUAAAGGCUCACCAAGGCGAUGAUACAUAGCCGACCUGAGAGGGUGAUCGGCCACAUUGGGACUGAGACACGGCCCAAACUCCUACGGGAGGCAGCAGUAGGGAAUCUUCGGCAAUGGACGAAAGUCUGACCGAGCAACGCCGCGUGAGUGAAGAAGGGUUUCGGAUCGUAAAACUCUGUUGGUAGAGAAGAACGUUGGUGAGAGUGGAAAGCUCAUCAAGUGACGGUAACUACACAGAAAGGGACGGCUAACUACGUG